rnacentral:rRNA from 1 species
AGCGAACGCUGGCGGCAGGCCUAACACAUGCAAGUCGAACGAACCUUUCGGGGUUAGUGGCGGACGGGUGAGUAACACGUGGGAACGUUCCUUUAGGUUCGGAAUAACUCAGUGAAACUUGUGCUAAUACCGAAUGUGCCCUUCGGGGGAAAGAUUUAUCGCCUUUAGAGCGGCCCGCGUCUGAUUAGCUAGUUGGUUGAGGUAAUGGCUCACCAAGGCGACGAUCAGUAGCUGGUCUGAGAGGAUGAUCAGCCACAUUGGGACUGAGACACGGCCCAAACGCCUACGGGAGGAAGCAGUGGGGAAUCUUGCGCAAUGGGCGAAAGCCUGACGCAGCCAUGCCGCGUGAAUGAUGAAGGUCUUAGGAUUGUAAAAUUCUUUCACAGGGGACGAUAAUGACGGUAACCGGAGAAGAAGCCCCGGCUAACUUCGUG